rnacentral:rRNA from 1 species
ACGGAAGGCAGCAGUGGGGGAUAUUGCGCAAUGGGGGCAACCCUGACGCAGCAACGCCGCGUGAAGGAUGAAGGUUUUCGGAUUGUAAACUUCUUUUAUUAAGGACGAAAUAUGACGGUACUUAAUGAAUAAGCUCCGGCUAACUACGUGCCAGCAGCCGCGGUAAUACGUAGGGAGCAAGCGUUGUCCGGAUUUACUGGGUGUAAAGGGUGCGUAGGCGGCUAUGCAAGUCAGAUGUGAAAUCUAUGGGCUCAACCCAUAAACUGCAUUUGAAACUGCGUGGCUUGAGUGAAGUAGAGGCAGGCGGAAUUCCCCGUGUAGCGGUGAAAUGCGUAGAGAUGGGGAGGAACACCAGUGGCGAAGGCGGCCUGCUGGGCUUUAACUGACGCUGAGGCACGAAAGCGUGGGUAGCAAACAGGAUUAGAUACCCUGGUA